AAUGAACGCUGGCGGCAUGCCUUACACAUGCAAGUCGAACGGCAGCAUGACCUAGCUUGCUAGGUUGAUGGCGAGUGGCGAACGGGUGAGUAAUGCAUCGGAACGUGCCUUUUAGUGGGGGAUAACGUAGCGAAAGUUACGCUAAUACCGCAUAUUCUCUGAGGAGGAAAGCAGGGGACCUUCGGGCCUUGCGCUAGAAGAGCGGCCGAUGUCGGAUUAGCUAGUUGGUGAGGUAAAGGCUCACCAAGGCAACGAUCCGUAGCGGGUCUGAGAGGGUGAUCCGCCACACUGGGACUGAGACACGGCCCAGACUCCUACGGGAGGCAGCAGUGGGGAAUUUUGGACAAUGGGCGCAAGCCUGAUCCAGCCAUGCCGCGUGAGUGAAGAAGGCCUUCGGGUUGUAAAGCUCUUUCGGCUGGGAAGAAAUCGCACCCUCUAAUACAGGGUGUGGAUGACGGUACCAGCAUAAGAAGCACCGGCUAACUACGUG
rnacentral:rRNA from 1 species